rnacentral:rRNA from 1 species
AACGAACGCUGGCGGCAGGCCUAACACAUGCAAGUCGAGCGAGGACUUCGGUCCUAGCGGCGGACGGGUGAGUAACGCGUGGGAACGUGCCCUUUGCUUCGGAAUACCUCUGGGAAACUGGGAGUAAUACCGGAUGAGCCCUAUGGGGGAAAGAUUUAUCGGCGAAGGAUCGGCCCGCGUUGGAUUAGGUAGUUGGUGGGGUAAUGGCCUACCAAGCCGACGAUCCAUAGCUGGUUUGAGAGGAUGAUCAGCCACACUGGGACUGGGACACGGCCCAGACUCCUACGGGAGGCAGCAGUGGGGAAUCUUAGAAAAUGGGGGAAACCAUGAUGGAGCCAGGCCGCGUGAGCGAUGAAGGCAUUAGGGUUGUAAAGCGCUUUCAGCUGGGAAGAUAAUGACGGUACCAGCAGAAGAAGCCCCGGCUAACUCCGUG